rnacentral:rRNA from 1 species
GUGUCAGCAGCCGCGGUAAAACGUAGGAGGCAAGCGUUAUCCGGAGUUACUGGGCGUAAAGGGCGUGCAGGUGGUUCAAUAAGUUGGUUAUGAAAGCUCCUGGCUAAACUGGGAGAGGUUGACCAAGACUGUUGAACUUGAGUGGAUGAGAGGUAAACGGAAUUCCGCGUGUAGUGGUGAAAUGCGUAGAGAUGCGGAGGAACACCAGUGGCGAAGGCGGUUUACUGGCAUCCAACUGACACUGAGACGCGAAAGCAUGGGUAGCGAACGGGAUUAGAAACCCCCGUAGUCC